UACGUAGGGUGCAAGCGUUGUCCGGAAUUAUUGGGCGUAAAGAGCUCGUAGGCGGUUUGUCGCGUCUGCUGUGAAAACUCAGGGCUUAACCCUGAGCCUGCAGUGGGUACGGGCAGACUAGAGUGUGGUAGGGGAGAUCGGAAUUCCUGGUGUAGCGGUGGAAUGCGCAGAUAUCAGGAGGAACACCGGUGGCGAAGGCGGGUCUCUGGGCCGUUACUGACGCUGAGGAGCGAAAGCGUGGGGAGCGAACAGG
rnacentral:rRNA from 1 species